rnacentral:tRNA from 1 species
AAACUUAGGAUAACCCCCCCCAAACCGAAG